AUCUACAAGUAGUCCAGGAAGAGGGGGAGAAGAUCCCUUUAGGUGUGGAGGAAGAAUGGACUGGAAAGUAGAGACCCUGAGAUCCAGGACGGAAGGAGGGAAGAGGCUCGCUUGACUGUCAUAAGCUUGAUUUUGCUGAAACAGACCCCAGAAAGGGCAGUGAUGAGAGAUGAGGCCACAAUACAGAUAUCCAAUUAUUUCAGCAUCACUUGCUAAAAAUACUUUCCUUUCGUCUUUGGAUUCCACUGGCAACUUUAUUGAAAAAUCAGAUAACUACGAACACAAAGAGAAGGCGGAAAUCUUCAAGUCAGAAAGAGAGCUCACUGAAACCGGAC